rnacentral:lncRNA from 1 species
AAAGCCAGAACAUGAAAUUGGUCCUCAUCCAAAGUUGGUUAACCAAGAGAAUCCACCAAAGUAUAAGACCAAGAAAUUUGAGGAUUAUCUUUAUUGUAAGCUUAAUAAGAUCCCUCAGUAAAGGAAGAAAAAUGCUCUACACUAUGAAUAUAUUGUUACUUAUGGGGGUUAAUUUUAUCAAAUGAUGGUGUCAUGUGGCAUGUAUGAAUUAAAUAAAAUAUGUAGCUAAAGUUGGAUGCUGCUAAUUGUGCUAUGUUAUAAUUAUAAAUUUUCACUAGUUUUAUUUUUUUAUUUUAUAGGAGAAAUCAUCUUAUGUUAUUC